rnacentral:lncRNA from 1 species
AUGGGAGGGGCAUGUUUGGGGACGCGCUCGGGAACAUACUGUCCCGUUUCCUCCCCCCUCCCUUCUCCCAUCUUUCCUCAUUAUUGUGGGGGAUGGGUAAGAGUGUGGGGGAUGGGUAAGAGUGUGGGGGAUGGGUAAGAGUGUGGGGGGUGGGUAAGAGUGUGGGGCCAGAGGAUGAGCUUGUGAGUCUGCUCUUCCCACUGUGGGUUCAGUCAACGCAAUUAGAAUAGGGAGUGACUAGAACUUGGUGCCAAGGUCCAAUUUCAUGGAGAAUUGUCAAUGACAUUCAGUGACAGUGAGCCCUGGGUCCCUAAGAAACAAUCUACAGAGCACGAGAUGGCAUCGGACGGACACUCGCCAGCCCAAACACUAAGAGAGUUAAGGGCCACAUGGACCGGCUGGGCAUGGUGGCACAGGCCUGUUAUCCCUGUACAGGGAAGGCUGAGGCAGGAGGAUUGCCACAAGGUUGGGGUGGCACAAGGGAAACAGAACCUUUGAGAUGGCUCAGUGGUAAAAGGGGUUUGCUGCCAAGCCUCAGAACCUAUGUUUGACCCCUCGAGCCUCCCCAGGUGCAGGCCAAUGUGGCGGGAUGAGAGAGCCAACUCAAUUCCCAAGAGCCCACCAGUUCUAGGCAACUUGUCUCAAACCUACACACAAAGAAUUUUAAGAAAACCUUAAAGGAGGCGAAAAGAAAGGAAAGGCAAUUAUGCUGGUCACUGUGGCUCCAGCAGCCACACCCUCCUCCAGCAGCUGAGUGCCUCUGGGCUGAAAGUGUCAGUCCCCAGCUCCCUGGACAACCCAUGGGUCAAAGGCUGUUGGCACUGCCUGCAGCCAAGGAAAGAGGAGGAGCAAUUCCUGGAAGCUCCUGGUCUGUUUGAUUUACCUGGGUCAACAAAAGGAGGAAAUGAGUCUGUGAGACUUCUGGCUCAAAGGCUGCUAAGCAGAUCAGUAACAGGUCCAGACCUGGGAUUAGAGGCCAUGUAUUAUAGAACUAGACCCGAGAACCUUGGACAUCCGAGCUCUACCCCGGCUUCAAGGAUUGUCUAUGGGAAUAGGAGGAUGCCCAGUGCUGGGCCCACAGGCGUGUGUCUCCUGGCAGGGGUCACCUGGUCUCUGUGGUACCUGGGACCAAACCCAGCACUUAGUACAGAUUAGGCAAGGCCUCUACCCCCAGUCCUGUGCUAGCAGGUCCUGUUGAGACCAGCCUCCUUCAUAUCCCAGGAUCCUGAAGUCCACUGUGGUUGAACCUCCUAAAGUCACCUGAUCACCUCUGAGCCAUUCUCUGUGCCCUCAGGAACCAGAGGAGGAUGUUGCUUAGCUUAUACUAAGGGAAGGUCAAUCCCAUGCUAACUAAGGGAAGGUCAAUCCCAUGCUAACUAAUCAUAGACUUCAGAGGAGCAAGAACGGUGCUGCUUAACUUCAGGGAACCCUGAUUUCCACACAGAAGGAUGUCUGAGGCAGGGUUUCUAUUGCUGUGAAAAACACCAUGACCAAAAGCAGGCAGCAAGAAGGGCUGAUUCCAGCUUACAACUCUCAGGUCACUGAGGGAAGCCAGUGAUGGCAGGAACCAGGAGGCAGGAGCAGAAGCAGAAGCCAUGGAUGAACAUUGCUUACUGGCUUGCUCUCCAUGGCUUGCUCUCCAUAGCUCACUGUCCAUGGCUUUCUCAACUGGCUUUCUUGUACUGAUAGUAGGCUGGACCCUUUGAUCAAGAAAAUACCGCCACAAACUUGCCUACAGGCCAAUCUGAUGGAGACAUUUUCUCAGUUGAGGUUCAUGUUUUCCAGAUAACUAUAACUUGUGUCAAAUUGACAAUAAACAAACAAAGAAACAAGCCCAGACUGGGAAGAUGGCUCAGCAGGUAAGAGCACCGACUGCUCUUCCGAAGGUCCUGAGUUCAAAUCCCAGCAACCACAUGGUGGCUCACAACCACCUGUAAUGAGAUCUGAGCCCUCUUCUGGUACAUCUGAAGACAACUACAGUGUACUUACGUAUAAUAAUAAAUAAAUCCUUGGAAGAGAGCUAGCAGGAACUGAGCAAGUGGAGUUGGCUAGAGUGAGCAGAGGUCCUAAAAAAAAAAUUCAGUUCCCAACAACCACAUGAAGGCUCACAACUAUCUGUACAGCUACAGUGUACUCAUAGACAUAAAUCCUUUUUUUGUUGUUUUGUUUUGUUUUGUUUUUUGGGGACAGGGUUUCUCUGUGUAGCCCUGGCUGUCCUGGAACUCACUCUGUAGACCAGGCUGGCCUCUGCCUCCCAAGUGCUGGGAUUAAAGGUGUGUGCCACCACUGCCCAGCUAAAUAAAUAAAUCUUAGAAAGAAAGAAAGAAAGAAAGAAAGAAAGAAAGAAAGAAAGAAAGAAAGAAAGAAAGAAAGGAAACCUAGCCAAGACAGAGGAGGAAUGGAGGUGGUAGCUCCUAGGAACAUAAGACAUUUUGCAUUGAAUACUGGGAAACUGUCACUGCCCAUAGUCCAGGCAAGCAGG